rnacentral:rRNA from 1 species
CGCCUUGCCAGCCCGCUCAGAACUUAAAUGAAUUUGACGGGGGCCCGCACAAGCGGUGGAGCAUGUGGUUUAAUUCGAUGAUACGCGAGGAACCUUACCUGGGCUCAAAUGUAUGUUGACGUAUUCUGAAAGGGAUACUUCUUCGGACAAUAUACAAGGUGCUGCAUGGUUGUCGUCAGCUCGUGCCGUGAAGUGUCGGGUUAAGUCCCGCAACGAGCGCAACCCUUGCCUUUAGUUGCCAUCAGGUCAAGCUGGGGACUCUAAUGAAACUGCCUACGCAAGUAGUGAGGAAGGUGGGGAUGACGUCAAAUCAGCACGGCCCUUACGUCCGGGGCGACACACGUGUUACAAUGGGUGGUACAAAGGGCAGCUACCUGGCGACAGGAUGCUAAUCUCCAAAACCACUCUCAGUUCGGAUCGGAGUCUGCAACUCGACUCCGUGAAGCUGGAUUCGCUAGUAAUCGCGCAUCAGCCACGGCGCGGUGAAUACGUUCCCGGGCCUU